AGAGUUUGAUCCUGGCUCAGAACGAACGCUUGCGGCGUGGAUUAGGUAUGCAAGUCGAACGGGAAGCAUUUAAUAGAUCCUUCGGGUGAAGUUGUUUGUGGAACGUGGCGAAAGGGUGAGUAAUGAAUGGACGAUCUACCCUUGAGACCGGGAUAAUCUAUCGAAAGGUAGUGUAAUACCGGAUGGUAUAGUUUGCUUACGGGCUUACUAUUAAAGGUGGCUUAGGCUUCUACUCGAGGAGGAGUUCAUUUCCUAUUAGCUUGUUGGUAAGGUAACGGCCUACCAAGGCAAAGAUGGGUAGGGGGCCUUAGCGGGCGAUCCCCCACACUGGGACUGAGACACUGCCCAGGUUCCUACGGGAGGCUGCAAUCGAGAAUCCUCCGCAAUGGACGAAAGUCUGACGGGGUGACGCCGCGUGAGUGAUGAAGGCCUUUCAGGUUGUAAAACUCUAACAGGGAGUAUAAAGUGUAUCGGGUACAAUAUGCCCUUUACUUGAUGUAAAUCCCAGAUGAAGUCACGGCUAAAUUCGUGCCAGCAGCCGCGGUAAUACGAAUGUGGCAAGCGUUGUUCGGAAUCACUGGGCAUAAAGCGUACGUAGGCGGCGCAGUCAGUUGAUUUGUGAAAUCCCUCUGCUCAACGGAGGAAUUGCAGUCAAUACUGCUGUGCUAGAGUUCAGAAGGGGAGAGUGGAAUUCUGGGUGUAGCGGUGGAAUGCGAAGAUAUCCAGGAGAAGGCCGGUAGCGAAAGCGACUCUCUGGUCUGAUACUGACGCUGAGGUACGAAAGCGUAGGUAGCGAACGGGAUUAGAUACCCCGGUAGUCUACGCCGUAAACGAUGGGCACUAGGUGGUGGAGACGCCUAUAGUCUUCUCCGCCGUAGCAAAUGCGUUAAGUGCCCCGCCUGGGGAGUAUGGUCGCAAGAUUAAAACUCAAAGGAAUUGACGGGGGCCCACACAAGCGGUGGAGGAUGCGGCUUAAUUCGAGGCCACGCGUAGAACCUUACCGAGGUUUGACAUGCAGGGAUUAAUCUACCGAAAGGUAGAGGAUUGCUUUAUUGCGUAACCUGCACAGGUGCUGCAUGGCUGUCGACAGCUCGUGUCGUGAGAUGUUAGGUUAAGUCCUGUAACGAGCGAAACCCCUGUACUUAGUUGCCAGCAUGUUAUGAUGGGGACUCUAAGUAGACUGCCCCGGCCAACGGGGAGGAAGGUGGGGAUGACGUCAAGUCAGCAUGGCCCUUAUACCUCGGGCCGCACGCGUCCUACAAUGGGCUGUACAAAGAGUAGCAAGACCGCGAGGUGGAGCAAAUCUCAAAAGCAGUCCUCAGUUCGGAUUGCAGGCUGAAACUCGCCUGCAUGAAGGUGGAAUCGCUAGUAAUCGCCGGUCAGCUAUACGGCGGUGAAUACGUCCCUGGGCCUUGUACACACCGCCCGUCAAGCCACCCGAGUUGGGCGCACUCGAAAUCCAAGACCUAACCUGCUUGCAGGAAGGAUUGGCUGAAGGUGAAUCUGAUAAGGUGGACUAAGUCGUAACAAGGUA
rnacentral:rRNA from 1 species